GAUGAACGCUGGCGGCGUGCCUAAUACAUGCAAGUCGAGCGAACAGACGAGGAGCUUGCUCCUCUGACGUUAGCGGCGGACGGGUGAGUAACACGUGGAUAACCUACCUAUAAGACUGGGAUAACUUCGGGAAACCGGAGCCAAUACCGGAUAAUAUAUUGAACCGCAUGGUUCAAUAGUGAAAGACGGUUUUGCUGUCACUUAUAGAUGGAUCCGCGCCGCAUUAGCUAGUUGGUAAGGUAACGGCUUACCAAGGCAACGAUGCGUAGCCGACCUGAGAGGGUGAUCGGCCACACUGGAACUGAGACACGGUCCAGACUCCUACGGGAGGCAGCAGUAGGGAAUCUUCCGCAAUGGGCGAAAGCCUGACGGAGCAACGCCGCGUGAGUGAUGAAGGUCUUCGGAUCGUAAAACUCUGCUAUUAGGGAAGAACAAAUGUGUAAGUAACUAUGCACGUCUUGACGGUACCUAAUCAGAAAGCCACGGCUAACUACGUG
rnacentral:rRNA from 1 species